GUACUUCUAGGAAGAGAACGUCCUGGCCAAGUACACCCGGGAGAUAGGUGGGCUGGGGGUGAAACCCUGAUCUUGCUGUGAGAUUGCAGAGCAGGGCACCCAGCGCUCCCCUCUCUCCUCUGAGGUCAUCCCAUUCUUGUGACUUUUGCCUCACUACUGACUCUGCAUGCUGACUCAGCGCCCUUGCUCCAUCUGCUGACACUGGUCAUUCCUCUUUUAAACUGUUCUCCAUGAUACUUAACUGCAUCCUGAUGAACAGCAUCCUGCUCCGAAGGAUGUGCCUCCCCCUUGCUGAGGGUGGUCUCAGGCUACAGAGAUUGGUUCU
rnacentral:lncRNA from 1 species